rnacentral:lncRNA from 1 species
UGUGUUACCCGGUGGAUGUCCAUGAGUUCAGCUGAAAUUCGAAGGAGGGUUAGAACAUUGAUUCUUUGUUGUCUAGAUUUGAGUAAGUCAUUCUUUCUUUCACCCUGCAUGUGUGUCCACGAUGUUUGAAUCCUUAUAAAAUCUUAUCUGCCAUGUAGCUAAAGCUGAAGUGGAGAAAAAUAAGUUGCUCCUGAUGGUUUUUUAGUAAUGGCAGAUGAGUUCAAGUGCUUAGUUUUCAAAUCUGUUCCCUAACCCUUGAUUUUUGCUGGAGUACCUUUUUGUUGGCUGAUCUAGCUUAGGCUAGUUAGCAUUCUCACAGUUGUUGUACCUAUGAUCCGACCACAAACUAUCUUGUAAUUAACAUAGCUGUGAGGCACUGUGGUCUUUUUAUUACUUGUUAUUAUGGAUGCCUGUAUGUAGUGUUUAUCUUCCUUGCUCUAACUCUUAUGAAUGGUAUCUGUUCUUUAUCUACACUUAGUAUCUUUUUUUCUUUGCUUGGUAGCUGAUGAAAAUUGUUGUAUUGUAUUAUCUGCUCUUGCUCAAUUGCCAAAUUAGCCAUGAAGCCUGCUAAUUGAUUGGCCUCUCUGAAAAUAUGCUUUAUGUUGAUGUUCACUUAAGCCAUAAGACCUCUAAUUUCCUCUAUCCUUUCACUUAGAGUUCGCUGUAUUUUUCACACCCCUUAAACAUAUUACUAAUUCCCAAGGAUUCAGUCUCUAAAUGAAUAUGCAAUAGAUUUUGAGAGAAACAAUACUCUAUGGCCUUUUGAAAAGCAAUAGAUUCAACUUCUAUGUUGUUAUUGAGUCCUAUGUUGUGAGCCUCUACAUAGAUUAAAUUGCCUUCACUAUCUCGUAUGCAAAAGCCGUAAGAGCUCAUACCUGAGUUUUCUUUACUGGCACCAUCCAUGUUGCAUUUCAUUCAUCCCUCAUCUGGCUUAUCCCAUUAAACCAGUAAAUAAUGAAUCCUUAAUUUGUAAACUUGUAGGGUAUACAACAUUCCAUCCCAGUGAAAAGGUACUUGUUUAAUCCAUGGAAAACAUACUUUAAUGAAAUAGAAAACAUUUUUUUGAAAUUGAUGUUUCAUCAUCACUAAAGUAAUGUCUUUUCCAUGUCUUCUAGCAUUCCUCCUCUUCUAUAACUCCCAUAUUAGCAAAGCUGGUACUGCUUUAAAGAGUCUUCUAAUCUUAGGAUUUCCUUCGUAGAUCCACCACAUAUGAAUUGCCUGGUGUAGAGUAAGACCCUCUAUGUUUAGACCUGCACAUAUAGCAAAAUGACAGAUUAAAUUAAUCAAUGAAUUAAACUUUUUAGAAAUUUAAGUUAAUUAAUUAGUGUUAGUAGUUCUAACAUGAAGAAUUAAAUAAGAUGUAAUGGUAGAUUUUAAAAUUAAAUCGAGGAGUGCAAUUUAGUAAAAUAAUUUAUAAUUUACUGUGAUAUGGAAAUUUGUUCAUUUUGCAAAUUAAUAUCAUAAUUGAAAGUCUCAAUUAAUAAAUUUGUUAUCCCUACUACGCCUGAUUAACUAAUCAAAUUUGAAAAAGAAAAGAAUCCUUAUAGCAGAAGUAAUUUCAUUUACCGGUCUUAUAUAAUCAUCAAGGAAUAAAAGCAAAAAUCAGUUUUGACAUUAAGGCUAAAAAGUUUUUGGCAUUAAGGCUGAAAGCAUUUUUUUAGCAUUAUGACUGAAAAUGUGUUGCCUAUUGACUUUCUUUCUCAAUAUAAUUUGGGAGUAAAUAAGGGCUAGUUUUUGAUAGAAAGAUCAUCCUUUUUCCAACAAAUAAAGUCACUUACCCACACAAGUUUUCUUUUAAUUAGAAAGUUAGUCAAGAAUUAGUAGAAGGCUUCAGACCUAACAAGUAAGACGAAUAAGGUGUUGAACGAAUUAUAUAAAAUUUCAAACAGGUAUGUAUGUGAUUUUGAAUUAUUGUUCUAGUUUAUAUUAUCUAGAUUUUAUUUAAGUUAGAUUGAUUCAUGAGAAUAGCUUCUGAUGUGCAUGUUCUAACAAUUGGUACCAGUAGUCAUCUUACAUAUGCUAGAUAAUGUAAAAAGAGAUUUUAUGAUUUCUAGACAUGUUUUAUUAAUUAAAUAGUUGUAUAAACUAUGAUAUUGCUGAUUGUUGACGAUGUUAAAGGUUUUUGUAAGCUUAGUUUAUCAUCAGUAAAAUAGAAACGAAUUUUACAUAUUUUUUCAUAAAUUUUUUGAAAACUAAUUUUAGGAAUUAAGAAAAAAAUCGUGAAGAAUUAUGACUAUGCCCAACUAUAGUCAUUACUCACAUGCUUAACGACAAGUAUGGUGGCAAGGCAAAGCUAUUUGGACAAUCCGUGUCACCCUCACCUAUAGUCUUGCUGAUGAAUGUCAAAAUAAUUUUUUCUGAAUUAAGGAAAAAAUCAUAAGGACUUUUGAAUUUGCCUAACUACCUCUGUUACUUUCAAGCAUUGACAAGUAGCAUGGUGGUAAGGCCAAGUUGCACGGUAACACUAUUAACCCUCGGAAGCAGCCUAGCUGAUGAUUUUCAAUUUGGUCAAUUUUAGACUUUUUUAAAUUUUGAUGAACCCUGAUUGACCUAAAAUUUGAUAGGUUUAUUAAAAAUAGCACACUAAGCCAUACUCACUGCUUUGUCGUAGCCUAGGCCCUUUUUUCAUUCAGAGCCAUUUUAAUUUUUUUUGGCAUUUUUGAAUCUCUGUGAAAUUAAAAAUUCUAAAAAAAUUAAUUUUUGCAAAUCAGUGGUGAUAGGGUUCAUUCCUUAUGAUUUUCAAUGGUUAAUUACAGUAAAUAAUAUGAGUUUACAUAUUAAUAUAGGCCAUCUUUUCCAUCAGAUAAACUUGUGUAGUGUAGUACUGUUUUUAAUCUCUUGUUUUGAUGACUUGUAUUAACUUUUCAACUAAGUUACAUGUUGGUUCAAUGAUAUAUGAUAUUUUUCUAACUUAAAUUUAUAUUUUACUCUUUAACUGAGUUGGUUCUGUUUUAUUUAAAGAAUAAUAUAUCUGACAUUGCAUGUAUAUUUGUUUGAAUAGUUAAGUUUCACUAACGAAUCUAAUUGUUUAUAUGCAUGAUUAUAUGUGAUGUGAUUUUUAUGAUUUUAGUUAUUAUGCUACAUAACUAGUGAUCGAUUUUAAACAUAUAACAAAUUAACCAUGUCUUCGUUCAAUCCUUUAACCUCUAUCCUAAUCAAAAUAAACUGAAAGACCUUAAUUAUGUUGUCUGCAAAUAAAAUUUAGACAUUGUCCAUAAUGUUGAAGGUUUUAAAUUUGUGUUGGUUGACAAAUGUAUUGAAAAAUGGGAUGAUGCUACUGAUGAUCAGAUUAAAGUCUAUGAUAAGUGGAUUAAGACAGACGAAAUUGCAAGGUUCUAGAUUCUUGCCUCCAUAAAAAAUGUCUUGCAAGAUCAACAUCAGUCUAUGGCCUUUGCUUUUGAUAUGCUCAAAUCUCUCAAAGAGAUAUUCGGUG